rnacentral:rRNA from 2 species
UAGCGGAGGAAAAGAAACCAACAGGGAUUGCCUUAGUAGCGGCGAGUGAAGCGGCAAAAGCUCAAAUUUGAAAUCUGGCACUUUCAGUGUCCGAGUUGUAAUUUGAAGAAGGUAUCUUUGGGUCUGGCUCUUGUCUAUGUUUCUUGGAACAGAACGUCACAGAGGGUGAGAAUCCCGUGCGAUGAGAUGACCCAGACCUAUGUAAAGUUCCUUCGAAGAGUCGAGUUGUUUGGGAAUGCAGCUCUAAGUGGGUGGUAAAUUCCAUCUAAAGCUAAAUAUUGGCGAGAGACCGAUAGCGAACAAGUACAGUGAUGGAAAGAUGAAAAGAACUUUGAAAAGAGAGUGAAAAAGUACGUGAAAUUGUUGAAAGGGAAGGGCUUGAGAUCAGACUUGGUAUUUUGUAUGUUACUCUUUCGGGGGUGGCCUCUACAGUUUACCGGGCCAGCAUCAGUUUGGGCGGUAGGAGAAUUGCAAAGAAAUGUGGCACUGCUUCGGUAGUGUGUUAUAGUCUUUGUCGAUACUGCCAGCCUAGACUGAGGACUGCGGCUUCGGCCUAGGAUGUUGGCAUAAUGAUCUUAAGUCGCCCGUCUUGA